AAUCAUACUUGGCGUACGGAUUACCAUGAUCAACAAAGUGGUUCCCCAGGUUGAAGCUCUUCCAUUGAUUGCACCACGGUUAGGCUUAUCCUUCCGAUUAUCCAUAAUGAGAGUUACUCGGACGUGUAAUAUUUGGUAUUCGUGAAUGCGUUCGCGCUCUCCCGAU